rnacentral:lncRNA from 1 species
GAAUUACAGAAAUGCCCCUUAUCAAGAGAAACUUCACUCUUAGUUUGAUCAAACUGAAAAUUAGAUUUUCUCUCAAGUUCUUUUAGUAGAAUUAUCCUUGGAUGAGUUCUUGAGGAUCAUAUUAAGCAUUGUAGAUGAGUUUACCAUGAGUGUAUUAAGUUUGUUAGAUGUAUCGAGAGUGUAUCAUUUCUCUCUUACUUGAGUAUCUAUUUACUUGAUUGACUUUGUUAAUUGCAUUGGUACU